CACAGACAUACCAAAUUUGAAAAUCCCACUAAGCUAGCCAGACAGUCUGACUGAAUGCUGAAGGUACAGCAAUUUCAGGGAAAAAUGUUUAUAAAAGCACAACUGCCCAUUUGAAGAUCCCCUUCUCAGUCCACUGACAACCGUAUGAGUUGCAUGGCAGAAAACUUCUCUGGGAAGUAGGAGGACACCCUCUAAGCCCUUCUCAGCCUGGGAGUUUGAACUGACAGCUUUUCAAUGUCAUCAGACGUUUUGCCUCCUGUUCAUAACUGCUGUUAUGUUCU
rnacentral:lncRNA from 1 species